rnacentral:tRNA from 1 species
GUCUAGAUGGUGAAAUAGGUAAACACGCAGGACUUAAAAUCCUGUAAUUCAAUAAAAUGAAUUUUGCGGGUUCGAUUCCCGCUCUAGACA